CCAAAAAUAGCCCGCAAGCUCGAGCUGCGAACUAGCCGAGUCGAUGCGUCUGCCAAUCAUCAUGUGCACAUGGCAGGCCGCCCACUCGUCCGGCAUGUGCUGGAGGCGGCAGAGCUGUGUGUGUGUGUGUCAGCAUUAGACAUGCCACAGACUCAGCGUCCGAUUGGAGCUCAGUGGCGUGGAACUCACACAGAUGUAAAUAGAGACGCACGCAUGACAUGUGGAACAGACAGAGCUGCGAGGAUGGCAGCGCACAAAAAUACACGCAGUGAGAAGACCGUACCGAAGAUUUAAGUUGGUUUUUCCUGCUGUCAGUGGAGCAGUCCAUUGGAAUGACAAGGAAAGCUGAUCCCGGUCCUCGUACGUGCAUUCGAAAUGCUGAUUGGCUCACAGAAAGAACCUUAUAGAGCGCCAAGCUAUAGAGUUCGACAUUGUAGAUAAAACCUUCUUUGUUUUUUUAAAUAAUAUGUUUUAAAAUGUAAACAACUUAUAAAAAACAUCACAUGGUGUAAAUAAGUUAAUAAGUCAUGUAAUAAGAAUCCUGUAUGACAAUAGCUCAAUUUUGACAAGAAUGUCAGAUAGAACCUUGACGAUAUCUCAACAAAAAAAAAGCUCUGAGUUGGAAGUUUUUGACCAGUCUGACUCUGUAGACUGGAGUAUUAUUCAAUACUUCUGUCUCAUACAGAUUAACUAUGUCAAGGGUUGUAAUUUACUAUAAAGACAGGGUUCAUACACAUUUUUACUACUAAAAUUCCAUGAUUUUUCCAAGACUUUCAAGUAAAUUUUCAAGAUCUAAUGUUUCAUGUAAUGUCUACAUAUGCAUGGUAAAAGGAAAAACAAAGCAUGUUCAAAUGUAUUACAGCAUCUCGUAAAACAUGCAACAAUCUAUUUAGUUUAAUUCCCAUUUCCAUUCAUUUUCUAGUUGGCUUAGUCCCUUUAUUAAUCUGGGGUCGCCACAGCAAAAUGAACCGCCUCUUUUCGGCUUAGUCCCUUUAUUAAUCUGGGGUCACCACAGUGAACCGCCAACUUAUCCAGCAUAUGUUUUACACAGUGGAUGCCCUUCCAGCUGCAACCCAUCACUGGGAAACAUCCAUACACACGUAUUCACACAUACACUGCGGACAAUUUAGCUUACCUAAUUGACCUAUAGCACAUGUCUUUGUACUGUGGGGGAAACUGGGAGGAAAACCACGCCAACACGGGGAGAACAUGCAAACUCUACUCAGAAAUGCCAACUGACCCUGCCGAGGCUCGAACCAGCGACCUUCUUGCUGUGAGGCAAUUGUGCCAACCACUGCGUCACCGUGAUGCCCAAUUCGUAUUUAUAUCUGAGUUUAAUAAACACUGAAGCAUGUUUCACUGACUAUAUAUACACGAAUAAAAAUAGUUCACAUUUCAUAUAUUACAUUUUUAGCUUGUGUCUUUUUCAACAAUGCAAAAUUGAACAUUUCAUCUCAACGACAAUAAAUGAUUCUAAAUCUUCACAUUUACACACAUCUUUUCAGUGUAUCUUGUCAAUAAUGUGAGAGUAUGUGAUUGGCCAAAGAGAGAAAAAAGGCAAGACAACUAACCUAUAUUCAAGUAUGCAGAUGUUUUCCAUGACUUUUCCAAAACUUUGAGGGUUUUUCUGUUUUUCCAAAAGUUUUCCAGGCCUGGUAAAGUUAUCCACAACAGCACCAAUUUCGACCACUAUUAUAAAUUAUUAAAAUUAUAUAAAUUAAUAGUGCAGUACGUGAUUUUCU